GAGAAUGAUGAGUUAAAUGGA
rnacentral:miRNA from 1 species